UCCGACGACGCCAUGGACGGCGCCAGGGGAGGAAGCCGGUGUGAAUCCGGCACGGUCCCGCCACUGUGAGCGCGGCAGCAGCACCGCCGCGUGAGUCAGGAACUCCCGCCGUCCGCCACCGACCCGG
rnacentral:ncRNA from 1 species